UGGGGAAUAUUGCACAAUGGAGGGAACUCUGAUGCAGCGACGCCGCGUGAACGAAGAAGGCUUUCGAGUCGUAAAGUUCUUUUAUAUGGGAAGAUAAUGACGGUACCAUAAGAAAAAGCCCCGGCUAACUACGUGCCAGCAGCCGCGGUAAUACGUAGGGGGCUAGCGUUGUCCGGAAUCACUGGGCGUAAAGGGUUCGCAGGCGGAAAUGCAAGUCAGGUGUAAAAGGCAGUAGCUUAACUACUGUAAGCAUUUGAAACUGCAUAUCUUGAGAAGAGUAGAGGUAAGUGGAAUUUUUAGUGUAGCGGUGAAAUGCGUAGAUAUUAAAAAGAAUAACGGUGGGUAAAGCGACUUACUGGGCUCAUUCUGACGCUGAGGAACGAAAGCGUGGGUAGCAAACAGG
rnacentral:rRNA from 1 species